UGAACGCUGGCGGCGUGCCUAAUACAUGCAAGUCGAGCGAACAGACGAGGAGCUUGCUCCUCUGACGUUAGCGGCGGACGGGUGAGUAACACGUGGAUAACCUACCUAUAAGACUGGGAUAACUUCGGGAAACCGGAGCUAAUACCGGAUAAUAUAUUGAACCGCAUGGUUCAAUAGUGAAAGACGGUUUUGCUGUCACUUAUAGAUGGAUCCGCGCCGCAUUAGCUAGUUGGUAAGGUAACGGCUUACCAAGGCAACGAUGCGUAGCCGACCUGAGAGGGUGAUCGGCCACACUGGAACUAAGACACGGUCCAGACUCCUACGGGAGGCAGCAGUAGGGAAUCUUCCGCAAUGGGCGAAAGCUUGACGGAGCAACGCCGCGUGAGUGAUGAAGGUCUUCGGAUCGUAAAACUCUGUUAUUAGGGAAGAACAAAUGUGUAAGUAACUAUGCACGUCUUGACGGUACCUAAUCAGAAAGCCACGGCUAACUACGUG
rnacentral:rRNA from 1 species